UGGAGAGGCCUCGGAGCCGGGGCCGUCUGACGGGCUGGUGCCCACAGCACAGGCUCGUUGCCGCCACCCUCCCGGAAGCCGCAGACCCGGGCUGAGCCGCCGCGGACCUCUCCUCUCCUGGGUCCGGCGGCGCCAGGAGAAGGCGACGGCGUCCAGACCCCGCCAAGACGGAGAGGGGACCGCGCCCUCCCCCGGGACACCCCAGGAUCCCUGGAAAAUCCCCCGAUCCCCCACUUCACAGCUGGACAAGCCGAAGCCCCGAGAAAGGAGCGUGACCCGGCCAGCUCCCUCAGCGAGGGGUGCCCCGGCUAAAGUGACCUGAAAAAAAUGUCUGGAUUUCUAGAGGGCUUGAGAUGCUCAGAAUGCAUUGACUGGGGGGAAAAGCGCAAUACUAUUGCUUCCAUUGCUGCUGGUGUACUAUUUUUUACAGGCUGGUGGAUUAUCAUAGAUGCAGCUGUUAUUUAUCCCACCAUGAAAGAUUUCAACCACUCAUACCAUGCCUGUGGUGUUAUAGCAACCAUAGCCUUCCUAAUGAUUAAUGCAGUAUCGAAUGGACAAGUCCGAGGUGAUAGUUACAGUGAAGGUUGUCUGGGUCAAACAGGUGCUCGCAUUUGGCUUUUCGUUGGUUUCAUGUUGGCCUUUGGAUCUCUGAUUGCAUCUAUGUGGAUUCUUUUUGGAGGUUAUGUUGCUAAAGAAAAAGACAUAGUAUACCCUGGAAUUGCUGUAUUUUUCCAGAAUGCCUUCAUCUUUUUUGGGGCUGGUUUUUAAGUUUGGCCGCACUGAAGACUUAUGGCAGUGAACACAUCUGAUUUCCCACAGCACAACAGCCCUGCAUGGGUUUGUUUGUUUUUUUACUGCUCACUCCCAACCUUUUGUAAUGCCAUUUUCUAAACUUAUUUCUGAGUGUAGUCUCAGCUUAAAGUUGUGUAAUACUAAAAUCACGAGAACACCUAAACAACAACCAAAAAUCUAUUGUGGUAUGCACUUGAUUAACUUAUAAAAUGUUAGAGGAAACUUUCACAUGAAUAAUUUUUGUCAAAUUUUAUCAUGGUAUAAUUUGUAAAAAUAAAAAGAAAUUAC
rnacentral:lncRNA from 1 species